UGCUUUACACAUGCAAGUCGAACGGUAACAGGGUGCUUGCACCGCUGACGAGUGGCGAACGGGUGAGUAAUACAUCGGAAUGUACCCAGUCAUGGGGGAUAACGCUUCGAAAGGAGUGCUAAUACCGCAUACGCCCUGAGGGGGAAAGUGGGGGACCGCAAGGCCUCACGUGAUUGGAGCAGCCGAUGGCUGAUUAGCUAGUUGGUAGGGUAAAGGCCUACCAAGGCAACGAUCAGUAGCGGGUCUUAGAGGACGAUCCGCCACACUGGAACUGAGACACGGUCCAGACUCCUACGGGAGGCAGCAGUGGGGAAUCUUGGACAAUGGGCGCAAGCCUGAUCCAGCAAUGCCGCGUGCGUGAAGAAGGCCUUCGGGUUGUAAAGCGC
rnacentral:rRNA from 1 species